GAGAAGAAAGUAAAUAAGAGCACACAGGGGAUGCCUUGGCUCUCAGAGGCGAUGAAGGACGUGAUAAGCUGCGAUAAGCUUCGGGUAUUAGCAAAUAUGAAUUAAUCCGAAGAUUUCCGAAUGGGGAAACCUGGCUAGUUGAAGACUAGUCGUAUAUAAUACGCAAACCUGCCGAACUGAAACAUCUAAGGUACC
rnacentral:rRNA from 1 species